GUUCUCAACUCCAGUCCUCGGGACCCACUGCUCUGCAUAUUGUGCAUGUCUCCCUUAUUUAACACACCUGAUUCAGAUCAUCAGCUCGUUAGGAUAGAUUCCAUGAACUGAACUGAGUGUGUCAGAUAUGAGAGACAUCCAAAAUGUGCAGAGCAGUGGGUCCCAAGGACUGGAGUUGAGAAAAAAACACUGCACUAAACAAGCUACACAAUCAGAACUCGUAACGUAUUUCUGAAGGAGGGACUUCAUAGGACAAAGAAGACAUCAGCCUGUUUUUAGGACAGUGAAAGCACUAUAUAGAUAAGUAGAUUGUGUGAAAAAUACCGCAUGUGAAACAUAAACACAUGUUAUAUUGCGCACUGUAAACACAAUCAAAGCUUCAAAAACACAGGAAAAACGGGACCUUUAAAGUUGUUCAGUAUUAUGGUUGUAGUCAAUAAAAUGACAGGUAAUUUUAUUUAAAGAUCAUAUCCCCUUUGGGUUUAAAUGCAGAUUUUAAUCUUUCAUGCCAUGAAGGCAAUAACGCCCAAACAUCUGUCCUUGUAUUGUUUGAUUAGAAAAACAGGUCUAAGCACCAAAAGCUGGGAGAGCAUGGUGAGGGUGUUGAUUGAACUAGAUCUAUUGACCCCUCAUUGAUCUCUUAGACUAUGUUUACACAGUUUAAAUCUGAUUUUUAUGUAUAUCCAAUUUGAAUGACUGACUGUACACACUGUGUAUGACAACUCUUUGUGUUUGAUUUGUGUGACCAGAGGCGCAUUAUCUUGUAUCCAAAAUAGCUGCAUUGGUUUAUAAUUCAUGCAGCAACAACCAGUUGUCAUAAAUGAAAAAUAAAAUAAUGUAUUUUUAUCCAAUUCAUCCGAGAAAUCAUUUGGUAAUUAAAAUAAUGUACCCUAAAAAAAAACUUUCAUUUGUAAGACUGCAUUAAUUACUUUACUACAUGUGGGAAGAGACUCAUAGGUGGAGGCAGAAGUUUGGUCUACACUUUACAUAGCUGGUGCACAGGGAUUGUGGUAGGCUAGUGACACAAUUUAAGAAGACUGGUUCAAAAUCUGCUUUACAACCAGAGGUUGAAUUAAACUUUCUUAUUGGCUGUCAUUUUGACAGAUAAGGCUGUAACAAAUCUGUCAUAAUCAAUCAGGACUAAAAUAUCAACAAAACACUUAGAAAAUGAACAAAACCAACUACCUGAAUCUGUUUGAACUCUAACCUUGAGGUCUGGAUAGACAAAGUGAGUGUUUAUUUGUGUAAAAGUUAAACCAUCAUUGAAGACUGAUGCAGUUGUCAUUAAGGCUGAUUUAGUCAGACCUACCCCAAUGCCUCUAUACAGUAGGCUAUGCGCCACUUUUCAUUUACACGUUUGCGUCGUUGUUCGCAUCGAUGUGCAUUUACACAUGCAGAACGCUAGUAGCCUAUGUCCAUAGGCAUUUACCAAUGUAAAAUACAAUAUCAAGGCAAAAGCUGAAAAAAUAAAAAGCGGCAGAAAAAACCCUUGUUGGGGGCCAAUCACACCAAAUGCUUUUUAAAGAUGUGAAAACGCAAGGUGCACCUUGAUUUGGUCACUUUAUAAAAAGCAGUGCAGCUUUUUAUAUUGCUAGGCAACCACUGAGGCAGCUGUCCUGUCAAUCAAAUGUUGAAGCGUGAGCGCUCUUUUGCUGUUAACUGUCAUAUAAUCAGAAACUUUAAAAAGAGGAUGCUUGCAUUGACUUUGAACGAAGGUGAGAGGUGCAUAAACACACAGGAGACAGUAAGUGACUGAAGUACGGUUGUUUCAAAUAACAGUAAACAUCGGUCCCUACAACGAAAGGCCCGCCUCUCCCCAUAUUCAAUUGGACAAAGGAAAGACACAAAUGACGUCGGGUGCUUUUCCGCUCUUAGCGCUCCUUAAAAAACGCAUGUUGCAGGAGAGGGCAAAAGGCAUUCAGUGCGCAUAAACCGUGCACAUAACGCUCAAUGCUGCAGUUAAAAAAGAUUUACCUCAUAGUAAAGACCACUGGAUCUGCAGCGUAAUGAUGGUCUUCAGGUCCAUCAUUACGAUGAUGGUCUCCAGGUCCUCUCAUGGUGGCCUUGAUUCAGAGGUUUGAGAAGACUACCAAGCACCAGAGCCAGCUAACAGGUGGACCAAACAUCAAGCCAGAAUUCUGCAUGAGUCAGGUAAGCAGAAUAAAAGACACUGUAAAUAAACAAUAAUAAAAGAUGGUCAUUAAUGACUUUCAUAUUCAUGUUAAUGCUUUGAAAAUUAUCUUAUUUCUUUCAGAAUCUUUUGAUAAUAUUGCCAAAUGCAACAAAUGGAAAAAAGCAUGCUUUAUGACAACCUCAGCAGCAGAACCCAUGACUUAUUCCUGGGUAGACGAGAAAAAAAGUUUGGUAUCAACACCCAUCUAACAAUUAAGGUAAAAGAUAAAGUUUUAUGAUCCCUGCAUUCAGGUUAGAGUAUGGGGUAAGUUGACCGUUCUAUGGGUGUUUCCCAAAUGCAAGGUUGCAUCCUAUGGAGGCUGCGUCCAUCUUAGACUGUUACUGCGCGCCGAGGAAUGAAUGGGGCUAGGCUAAAUGCUAACACAUUCACAACGCGCUGUACAAAUAUUAAGUGCAUGCAUUGAUGAAAGAUAGGUCUGUAUUAAUUUAUCUAAGUUGAGGUAAGAACAUAGUAAAAUAUUGAAAAACUGUGGUGUUUUCCUUUAAAAGCAGCACCCCUAUUUAUUUUGGGUGCUAAAAAUAUUUGCCACAGACAGUUUAAGGCCUUAUGCUUGCUUCACAUGAACUUCACUGCUUCACUCUCAUUGGUAGUUGCUCCCAAAAGUCCUUCAUCAAGUUGAACUUUCCUCAACGUUGUGGCAUAGCUGGACAUGCCCACUUCCUGUUGUCGAUGGUCACAGUCGCUCAUGUUGCUGAAUGGUGCAAAGCUUCCAUUGGAAUGAACUAGAUUGUGUUGCUACUCGCUGGCGGUGUACAAGCAGCAUUAGUGUGUGUGUCUUUAAAAAUAUAUCAAAUGCAAAUUACCUGAUCUAACAUUCCCAGCUACAGAGGGCAUCCUUUAUUCAGCCCCUAAUGCAGAUGGUUGGAGUGUUGAUCCACCUAACAUGAGGGAGCACUCGAUUUGAAUCCUGAAACCCUGGGGUGAUCACCGUUAACAAAUACAGAAGCACUCGAUUUGAGUCCUGAAACCCUGGGGUGACCACCGUGAACAAAUACAGACUGCAAAAAGGCAGUCUUCAUGGUACUAGGAUGAAUGCAAAUAAAGACUAACCACCUGACGUCAGCGGUCCAGUCUCUUGUGGGAAGCAGGUGUUUGUUACCCCAAAUACGGAUGAAGUUGACGAAGAGGAUGAUGACUUUUUUCUCAAACAUCUGCUGAAGAUCUUGACAGGCUGGAGACAAAAUUAACAGACUGAGGGUUUAUACAAAGAAUCUUACUCAGCCAAUAUUAAAGAUAAGAUAUUUUUACAAAAUGUUCUUUUCAUUGUUUAGGAUGAUUUUAUGUAGAAAACAGUACAUCACAAAAAAGACUUAAGCUGUUUUCACAGGCAGAGCCUUACACACACACUAACCACAAUUAUAAACGCAACACUAACAGAUUUAGACAGAUUUGUGAAUAAUAUUUGAGAGAAAUAGGCCUUUUGGGGACAUAGAAAAUAUUUAAGUUCAGCUCAUGAAAUGAAAAAUGGGGGCAAAAACAAAUAUUAACAAGUGCAAUACAAAUAUCAACCAUAAUACUGAUCGUUUUAAAAAAGUAAGCCACUAUAUAUUUCUAGCAUCUUACACAAGACUCAGUUACAUGAACGAUCAAAAUAAAUUAACGUCAGACAGGUGGGCGAAAUAUCAAUAUUAAAGCAUGAAUAACUGUUAUCAACCCAAUUUCGAGGUAUUAUUUAAAUGAUCCGACAGCAAACAGUUUAUUAUUUAAAUGCAUUAUUACGACAUACCUUAAGCAAAUGUUCCACGCCUUUCUUCUUCUUGGCAUUGCGAGGUCAAGCGGAUGUUGUUAUGUAGAAUCAUGACCUUGAUGCAAAGACGCACAUCCGUAAUUUAUUUAACAAUGACAACACUUUCGGGUAGUUUUAUCUUCUAGAUCCUAAUUAACGCUAUGAAGAAAGAACAGCCUUUCACGAUUAUUUCCUGGUAAUUUUUUGUAAUGUUUUAUUUUAGAAUGGAGCUUAAUAAAGCAGACGCGGAAAGGUUUUGAUUAUUUUAAAUAUGUUAUGUUUAUAUGUUGUUGUUUUCGCAUACUGUCAUGUAAAAUGCAUCUUUAAAGAUAAAUGAAUGAAAGUUUUCAUUGUUUAAUUUGAAUAAAUGUGUAUUAAAAAAAAAAAUCAACAACUGCCUGUUUUAAGAUCAAUUGAAAAUUGUGUUUUAAUUACUUAAUAUCGAUGACACAGCAUGCAUGUGUAGAUGUGUGUAGAAAUAAUUUGCUGUAGUUUAGGCAAUUUGGCAAUUCAAUUUGUUAAUGAGGGAUCUUGUAAUCUUAUAAACAUCUGGGAAAGACCGGCUUACCGUCUUUCUAAGCUCUUCUAAAAAUCUGGGAAAGAGCGGCUCGGCAUCUUUUAAAGCUCUACUAAAAAUCUGGAAAAGAGUGGCUCGGCAUCUUUUAAAGAUCUGUGAAAGAGCGGCUUGCCGUUCUAACAUCUUGUAAAGAUCUGGGAAACAGCGGCUCGCCAUCGUUCUAAAUAACAUGCAUCUUGUAAAGAUCUGCUGGGUGUCUUGCAAACAGCUGGGUCGGACGUCUCGGCGACGCCUUCCAGAUGAGCAAACGCCCUAUAUAAUACGUCUUCCAGACGAAAAAGAAGACAUUGCGCAGACAUCUCCGCGACGUACGUGUGCUAUCUGGGUAUGGCAUGUGUGUGAAAGCACAAACAAAUCCAGAUAACUAUUGGCAGCGUGAAUUAACCAAACACAAAUAAUCCCGAACAGCUCCCGGAUGUGUACUCUGUAUUUUUUCCAUAAUAUGUGUGUGAAAAGGGCUACAGACAUUAACUCAAUUAUAUAAUUAUCGAUAAUCAUCCUCAUAUUUUUCCUAAAAUUUAAAUUACCUCAGAAUACUUCCAACUGCUGUUCAGAAAACAUGGCCAUCUGCCUAUAUUAAGUUCAUCGUUUAUAUAGCAACAAAAACACAAUACUGAACAAGUGAAAGGUAUUUAGAUUGAUAAAAAUAAUGGAAAUUAUAAUCUCUAUUAAAUAAUACACAAACAUUUUAGCAAAAAUGCCUCAAAUCUGAAUAGCGCUGCUAGUCCUACAAACGUUACUAUGACUUUAUUUGCUGUGCUGUAGUAGACGGAGUGCCUUAUACUAACCUUUAAGACUUUUAAUAUAAGAUUUUUGUCGAAAACUUACCUGAACCAUGUACGUCUGCGAAGUCAGCUCCCGCAUUUUUUCCUUGUUCAUGGCAAGACGAGACUGGAGUGGCUUCUCUGGGUUAAGGAAUAUAUCGCCAUCUGUUGGUUUGGCAUGCUCAUGACAAUGCUUCAUACCGGGGUUUUGCAUGUUCGAGUUGACGUGGAAUUGUCUGUUUUUUACGAAGGAGGGGAACACAAAACAAUGAUACGCGUUUUAUUUAUUUUUACUUGUAUAUUAUAUUAAAACAUCUACAUUUACUUAACGGAUUCCAUUUUUCUUCACGUAUUAUCAUUUACUUAGUUCUUGUACAUACUUGAUACACCCAUGAUGUCGCCUUUGCUCUGGUGGGUUGCAAAGGGAGGAGUAACUGGACACGCACCAACAGAGAGAACCGCGGCAUCGGCCUCCGGUAUAGUUAUCCGACCCAAAGCCGAUGUAACAGACAAGCUUGAUGAGCGGGAAAUACCGUUGACUUGACUACAAUAAAACUAAACUAAACCAAAAAUAUAACGAGUAUAAAGAUAUCAAAAACAAACAGUAUAUUUAAAACAAUGAAAAACUCUAAACCAAAAUGAGUAUAAAAACGGAUUAUAUAAACGAUGAAAAAUAAACCAAAAGGUAUUAAGAACGCAAGUUUAAAACAACAGCAAAACAAUUUAUAAUUAGUCACUUACCCAAGUGAUUUUAAAAUGUGACAAGCUCUGUGACAAUUCAAACACAAGUAUCCAGUAUCCGAAAUGUGUAAAAUCCAAACUGCUACAAAUUGUUUAAAAUGUUCCCAGACAAAUCCAAAAAGUCUCUGAUUUUUCUCUUUUUUAACUCUUUCCCAGCCAUUGACGAG